CCCGACUGCUAUCCGGGUGAGACUUAGCCAUGCAAGUCUAAAGGAACACCUAAACGUUCCUUGGCGUACUGCUCAGUAACGCGUGGUCAACUUACCCUGUGGAGGGAAAUAACCUCGGGAAACUGAGGAUAAUGUCCCAUAGGUGAAGAGGCUUGGAAUAGUUCUUCAUCAAAAGGUCUUGACAAAUGGGUCAAGUUCCGCCACAGGAUAGGACCGCGUCCGAUUAUGGUUGUUGGCGAGGUAACGGCUCACCAAGCCUAUAAUCGGUAGGGGCCGUGAGAGCGGGAGCCUCGAGAUGGGUACUGAGACAACGACCCAGGCCUUACGGGGUGCAGCAGGCGCGAAAACUUCGCAAUGCGCGAAAGCGUGACGAGGUUACCCGGAGUGCUUUCGCCUUAGGAAGGCUGUGGCGGGCGAAUAAAAUAUCCCCGCUAGAAAGGAGAGGGCAAGGCUGGUGCCAGCCGCCGCGGUAAAACCAGCUCUUCAAGUCGUCGGGAUAAUUAUUGGGCUUAAAGCGUCCGUAGCCGGUCGAGUAAGUCCCUGGUAAAAGCUGGCAGCUCAACUGUCAAUAUGCUAGGGAUACUGUUCGACUAGAGGGCGGGAGAGGUCAGAGGUACUCCAGGGGUAGGGGUGAAAUCCUGUAAUCCUUGGGGGACCACCAGUGGCGAAGGCGUCUGACUGGAACGCGCCUGACGGUGAGGGACGAAAGCCAGGGGAGCAAACCGGAUUAGAUACCCGGGUAGUCCUGGCCGUAAACGAUGCGCGCGAGGUGUUGGCAAGGCCACGAGCCGUGUCAGUGCCGUAGGGAAACCGAUAAGCGCGCCGCCUGGGGAGUACGGUCGCAAGACUGAAACUUAAAGGAAUUGGCGGGGGAGCACCACAAGGGGUGAAGCCUGCGGUUU
rnacentral:rRNA from 1 species